UAGGCUAGAAUGUGAGGGAAGAAAGGGUAAUACCGAUUGUCUGGGAAACCAGACCCAAAACAAGGUGCUGCAUGGCUGUCGUCAGCUCGUGUCGUGAGAUGCUGGGUUAAGUCCCGCAAUGAGCGCAACCCUUAUCGAUAGUUGCCAUCAUUAAGUUGGGAACUCUAUUGAGACUGCCGUUGAUAAAUCGGAGGAAGGUGGGGAUGAUGUCAAGUCAUCAUGGCCUUUAUGUUUAGGGCUACACACGUGCUCCAAUGGCCGGUACAAAACGUCGCGAACCCGUAAGGGGGAGCUAAUCGCAAAAACCGGUCCUCAGUUCGGAUUGGAGUCUGCAACUCGACUCCAUGAAGUUGGAAUCGCUAGUAAUCGCAAAUCAGCAUGUUGCGGUGAAUACGUUCCCGGGUCUUGUUCACACCGCCCGUCACAUCACGAAAGUAGGUUGUACUAGAAGUAGCUGGGCCAACUCGCAAGAGAGGCAGGUUCCCUCGGUAUGAUCUAUGAUUGGGGUG
rnacentral:rRNA from 1 species